AAAACAAAAACAAAAACAAGUCAGAAUCUACCCUUACAUAUGGUGGGAACCUUAGGGGGGUUUUCUCUGUCCUCAAGGUGGUCAAGAAUUUUACAGUCAAAGCAACAGAAGAAAGUGUUGGAAACAAUCGAUGCAGUGAACCAGAGCGUCUCUAUUCCGCAAAUCAGCAGAAAUGAAACGAAAAGGCAGCGACGACCCAGGAAGAACUGCCACAAACAGUCAAGACCACAGGUUCGUGUCCUUUAUGCAGAAAAACAAGGCAUCGAUCCAUUAAUGGGACAAUAAACAUUGGAGAGAAGUUUGCCCAGAAUGUGAACAGAUUUUCUUUUCCCCCGAGGAUGCUUAUAAAAUCUGGGGUGGUUUGCUGUGUUUUCCAAGGUAAAGUUACUGUUCUUCCCCCUUUGUAAUUAAUAAGUAUCACAUGGAGAAUUUGGGAUUAUGUAAAUACCUUGUUUCUCAUUAUAUUUUGGGGUAUUCCUUUUAGCAUCCUGUGAUGAUUUUUGCCUGAAACAAUGUUCACCGUGGUGUUUGCCAAGUGGGGUUUUUCUUCCUUCAUUCCUUUCUGUAUUUGUUAUAUUUGUUAUUUGCUAUAUUUGAAUUCUACUGAAAGGUCGUCUUCUCAUUGGUGGAGAAGCCUGGAAGGCACCACCACCUACGGUGUUUGCCAAAUGGUGAUUUUCUAUUUCUGUCUUUCCUUGGACGUGUCGUCAUUGGGAUUCUACUGGGAAGACAGAUGUUUUCAUCAGCGGAGAAGCCAGGCAGAAACCACGGUAACCAAAUGAUGAAAGUUAACGUCAGCAGCCACGGGGCAAGUUGGCAUGUUUCUAGGUGGGACGCGAAGAGGACAAACCUGAGAUGCAGAUUUGAUGGAAACCAGGGUGUGUGUUUAGUCUGCGAACGAAGACGUGACAGUCUCUCCUGUUCUUCCCAACUUGCCGCGUGAUCCUGCGUUCUCUCCAUACCUGCAUUAUUGUUAUAUCAUCAUCAUCAUCAUUCAGAUCAAAGCCAAAAACUCAAAUGACUUCACGUUAGGGCCUGCAGGGGUCGGAGGCUAAACCGAUCAAACCGAGGAUGACCUGUACAGAUGUGAAAAAGCCAGCUGAGAAGGUGAGCAGGUUGGAGGGCUCCCCAGAAGAGACACUUCCUGCCCCCGGGGAGCAGGUCAGGGCAUUCAAAUGUACGCACGUGGACCACUCGCAAAACAAGCGCGAAUUUUCAAAAUUAAUUUCGCCAAUGUAGGUAAGCAAGUACACACACCAGAGCAGGCUGGGCUAUCUUUUUUGAGUGCUUUCCUGACAUAGAGGAAUGAAGUAGUUUACUCUUUUUUUUUUUUUUUUUUUUUCUCUAAAUAAGGAAGAAAACAUCGCUCUUGGAAAUGCAUCUUCUGAGAAAAAGAAAUGAGUUCCACGGAGUAGGGCUUUAUUUUUAGCUCGCUCUGAGCCACCGUGAGACUUACGCAAACUAUCUCUUCAAAAUGUACCUUUGGGGGAAGAUGAGUUCGUUCUGUGAAAUGAGAGUUUAUGUUUAGUUCCAAGUGAAGAGGCCAUUGUUUCUUUUUCCAGAGAGAUCCUUUAAAAAGCCCGAGUUCGGGAUUUUUUUGGCUAAGUACAAUGAAAACUAAAAUAAAACUCCUUCACUUAAUGCACAAUCCAAAAAGGCAGGUUAUUUGUCCCGCCGGUGUCUGAUCUGGAAAAUCUGUUAGCCACGGGGUGUUUUAGUUCUUUGAAGAUUUCAUUAUAGCCAGUAGAAUAACACAGCACAGAAAGAAGGCACACGGAACACGCGGAGCACGCAGCACAUAAACUUUUAUGGAGCUAAUUCCCUUCAUUAAAUAGCAGAAGCCCUUUUGAACUGCUGGGUUAACACCUGCAGAGUAAUAAGCUUCGCGUGGAUUAUAAUAUUUCUAUUUGAUGUUUAAUGGUUUUUGGAAUCUCUGGGCACAUCUAAGGUUUGGAUGUUUUUGGUUAAAUCUGGUGCAUUUACAGCCAGGCCUAAUUGGGACCAGGGAACCGCUGAAGAAGUGUUUUAAAGCAGCCUGGCUUCAUCCCUGCCUCUGUCUUUGUGACCAGUCUGCUUCCCAAAGAGGAAAAGCAUGUUCACCAUUUGCAAGCGAACGGCUCUUUCACAGAUAACCGUGCAGCUGGAGCCUUCGCUUGCAGCCAGCCGCUGGCUGGUGGGAAGGGCCAACUGGUCUGCAGGGUGAAGGGACAGAUGAUGCAGUGGCCGGGACGGCAGUUGUGCCUCUUGCAGCGUUUCAGCAAGGGGUGCCUUUGGAAUUUAAACCUUUUGAAAGGAAGCGUCGGCAGGAUGUCGCAGCGAGCUUGGGGUGUUGGGGACAACAGCGGAAACAGACGGUCCCUCCCUGUCUCGGCGGAAUGAUUCCCGUCUUCGUCCCUUGAAGCUGCCCUCCAAUGAAGGACUUCAGCCUGAAACCUGACUGUCCCUCCGCAUCCGCCCUCCUCAGCACCGCCAGCAAGUCCGUCCAUGCCACCUGCCAGAGGGCUCUCAGGCCUCCCCCGGCCCAGCCUCGGGAUGCCUCUUCCUGGACUCCAUCCCCACCUUCAUUCCCUACCAGCUCAUCUUCUCUCAAGGCUGCCAGAGGGACUUCUUGAAAAAAACAAAGCGCGUCUUCUCAUUCCUCUGCUUCAGAUCUUCCCGUGGCCCCCGACUGCCCUGAGCUGCAUUCAGACUUUACGGUCCAGCCAGCAAAUUAACCUCAUCUUCUAACCCUCGACUUCCUGAGCCUUCAGGUCAGGGAAGCCCGGGCUGUCUCUGCACCGAGUCCUGUGUCUUUAACAUCCCAACCGUGAAUGCAGCCUCUUUCCCGGAAUGCCCUGCUUCCAUUACCCACUUGACAAAAUUCCAGCUUCUUACUUCAAAACUCAGAUCUAUUGCCACCUUCUCCAAGAAAACGCACUUGAGCCCGGUAAACUGCAUUGGGAACCUGUUCGGUCUGUCCUGCAUGAAGCAUUGCCUUCGGCCAUUACAAGACGACAGUGAACAGGUUUUGGAAACAUUAAGGGGCCAAAUGUGACUCCUCAUUGUAAAUUUCUGGAUAUGCCACGUCUUUCCUAAGGUUUUGUUUUCUAAGCAGUUGUCCCAUAUUUAGAGCAUCUCAGGCCUAAGGGAACCAAGGUGAUAUGGCCAUGCAAUAGAACUUUAAAUUGUUAGGCAGGAAGCUAAAGUUGAAUUUUAGAUAGAAUUGUUGGACAGGAAGGCCUCCCACUGAAGUAAAAAGCAUGGGUCUUAAGAGAAGGUAGUAUGCGGGCGGUUCCCAGGGCAGCUGCGCCUGUCCAGGUGACUCCGAUCAGAUCAUUCAAAGUCUUCAUCCGUAAAACAUGUCUGUAAAGCUUGUAUAUAAAAUACCUACAUGGCCAUCUCUUUGGGUGGGAUGUGGGGUGUCUUAAAGACAUCAGCAUCCAUUAACAUUAUAAGUAACUAUACUUCAAUAAAAUAAUUUUAAAAAAUAAUAAGUCUAGGAGUUCCCGUCGUGGCACAGUG